CCUACGGGGGGCAGCAGUGGGGAAUAUUGCACAAUGGGGGAAACCCUGAUGCAGCAACGCCGCGUGAGCGAUGAAGGCCUUCGGGUCGUAAAGCUCUGUCCUAAGGGAAGAAUACUGACGGUACCUUAGGAGGAAGCCCCGGCUAACUACGUGCCAGCAGCCGCGGUAAUACGUAGGGGGCUAGCGUUAUCCGGAAUUACUGGGCGUAAAGGGUGCGUAGGCGGCCCUUCAAGUCAGAGGUGAAAGGCUACGGCUCAACCGUAGUAAGCUUUUGAAACUGUAGGGCGUGAGUGCAGGAGAGGAGAGUGGAAUUCCCAGUGUAGGAGUGAAAUGCGUAGACAUUGGGGGGAGCAGCAGUGUCGAAGGCGGCUCUCUGGGCUGUAACUGACGCUGAGGCACGAAAGCGUGGGGAGCGAACAGGAUUAGAUGCCCGAGUAGUC
rnacentral:rRNA from 1 species